AGCGAACGCUGGCGGCAGGCCUAACACAUGCAAGUCGAGCGGCCGUAGCAAUACGGCAGCGGCAGACGGGAGAGUAACACGUGGGAACGCGCCCUUCGGUUCGGGAUAACUCAGGGAAACUUGAGCUAAUACCGGAUACGCCCUUACGGGGAAAGAUUUAUUGCCGAAGGAACGGCCCGCGUCCGAUUAGCUUGUUGGUGAGGUAACGGCUCACCAAGGCGACGAUCGGUAGCUGGCCUGAGAGGAUGACCAGCCUCACUGGGACUGAGACACGGCCCAGACUCCUACGGGAGGCAGCAGUGGGGAAUAUUGGACAAUGGGCGCAAGCCUGAUCCAGCCAUGCCGCGUGGGUGAUGAAGGCCCUAGGGUUGUAAAGCCCUUUCAGCGGGGAAGAUAAUGACGGUACCCGCAGAAGAAGCCCCGGCUAACUUCGUGCCAGCAGCCGCGGUAACAC
rnacentral:rRNA from 1 species